GCAACUUUUCCUCUGGACAGAUUUUGAUAAAUCUCCCCAUAUGAUUUUAAAUUAAACUUAGAAAAUACAGGGGGACGUCACUCGUCAUCACAGAGAGCCAGCGUUGCUGUCGCGCACCACCACUACCGCCGCUGCUGGCAUAAAUAGGGUUUUGUUUUUCUUUCCAGGACGGUGGCCGUAAUGCCGGACCUAGGGUUUUAAACCUGCCACUAUGCUGUCUUCUGAUUCACCUGGGAGCUGUAUAGAACAUAAUGAAAGGAAAAAACUUUAGUGAACAAACUAUCUGGAUAACCAUAAAAGGAGGACAACCAAAUGACAAUAGUGUCUGAUGACUGCAGCCAUUUGUUUCCAUUUUUGAUCGUAAAACAUCUUUCAGCCCUAGCUUGCUACAUAGUGUACAACUUUUAAUACCAGCAAGUCUGUGGCACCAGGCUAAAGAGGUUUCUUGUUAACAAACUUGUCAAAAAGGUUUCAACAGAAAGCCUCUUCACAAAAUAAGAUAUCUCAAAAUUCAGCAUAACCGUGAUUGAUGUUCUGUAGUAGUGCUGUUACAAAUGAAAUAUUUGCUCUGAGCAUGUUUUUUGAAGGAAACUGUGGGACACUUUGAUGCAAACAGUUGAAGAAAAUCUAUCAAAUUUCCUCUAAAUAAUACAGCAGACAUAUAACUAUGAGUUAGCUGUAUUCUUUUCUCACUCUAGCUAAAUAGCAUGCAUUUUUGGAACCUGGACCCUCUAAUGUCCCUGUGGGAAUUACCAUGGAUUCUUUGAGUAAUUACUUGGCCAAACAUGUUGAUGUACAUCCCAUGUAAUCGAUUUUGGAGACCUUUAAUUCUAUGGUCUCCAAUAACUUCAGGAGAAACAAUGAAUCCCCGAUGUUGUCUUAAAGGGGUACUCCUCUGGAAUUUUUUUUUUUUUUUUAAAUCAACUGGU